rnacentral:lncRNA from 1 species
CCAUGACUUCUUUUCUACUUAAUAUUUAUUUAAACUUGCUUUCAUCUGAUGUCAGUGUGUGUGUGCAUGUGUGUUUGUGCAUGCCCAAGCACAUGUGACUGUGCUCCUCAAUCUUGAGUGUCCAUCAGAAUCUCCUGGAGGGAUUGGUAAUACAGUUUUCUCGGCCUUACUCCAGAUUUUUUAAUUCAGCAGGUCUGGGUGGGACCUAAGAAUUUGAAUUUCUAACAAGUUCCCAGUGAUGCUGAUGCUGCUGUUGAGGGACCAUACUUUGUGUACUACUGGCAUAUGGAACGGGGGAGCCUGUGAAACUUUUAAAAAUGCAAAACAAAUCUUUGAGCACAAGACAACAAAUGUAUUGGACAGGUCAUGGACGAACAACCUACUCCUGUGCAAGGAAAGCAAACUGAGCUACCUGAGCUUAGCUGAAAUCUUACCAGUCGUUGGGCCUUGUGGUUAAGAAGCUGCCUUUGGGGGAAACGGAGGUCCUGUCCAGUGUACUGGGGUUGCCAUGAAUUCUGGAAAUGACUGUCCCUGGGUCAUUCCCAGAACUACCCAGUCAGUUCUUCUCCACUGGGCUCAAUCCAGCAGGUACAUCAAAGUGGACUUGAACGGGCAAAGAUUUCAUCUGACUUCUACGGCUUUCAAGCAACUACAUAACAGAAGGCUGCUGCAACCCCCAGAUGGCCAUGGAGGUAGCCAGGUGGCCAAGAAUUUCAGUUAGAGAAAACUCCAUUUGCUUCCCAUCCAAGAUGAUCGCACAUUUUCCAGGGCCUUUGCAUAUGAUGUCCCUUGGACCCCUCUCCCCAGGUCCCGCCAGCACCUCCUUCGGAUCUGGAUGGAGCCCUAGUCACAGCUCUGACCACAAGGCUGAUAAUGGAGUCUUCCUUAUGCUGAUGAAUGAAGUGACCCUUAAUAAGAUGCAACCAGGCCAGAAAAAGCCAAAUGAGAAAGUUGGCAGCAUUAACUUCCAGGGACACCUGCAGCUGUGCAGAGAAGACUUUUCCAGAUCUACCUCUAGCUGGUGGUCGUGCAGAGGAAGGACUUUGUGCAGAUCCACGUGUUUCCAGAGUGAAGUCCCAGGGGUUAGGCUAGGCUGUGUGUGUAGCAGCUAUAGACCCAGACAUGACCAGGCAUCCUGCAGCCCCAAAAGGUGGCCUCCUGGGGGCUACAUGUAGGAGCAACCACACACCUUAUAAGAGGUGAGCUUCAGAUGGGAAAUUCUGUCCUCCAGAAUUCCUCUAAGGGAAACCACAGAGUUUGCUAGAAGGAAUGACUUGAUGAGCCCUCUUGGGGUAGGAGGAGAGGUCCUAGGGAGGGUGUGUUGGCUGGCUCCAAGACUUUGGGGUGAGGGUAGCAGUGUGAUAGAGGAGGGGAAUUUGGAUCCUCUAGAGGUCAAUCCAAGGAGAAGGUGAGGAGAAGAGGCAGGAGGAGGGAAGAGAGAAUACAGUAAGGCUGUGUGUUCCACAGUCAUUCCCCCUCACCCCAUCACCACUGUAUUUGACUCAGAACUUAAUCUAAAUGGAUGAAGGGACUAAGGUUGAGGUCUGCACGGCAGUGGGAGUAGGGAGGGCAGUGCGCUACAUGGGCAAAGUAGGAAUAGCACAUGGGCAUUCAGGAGCUGGACCCCUGAACAGAAGGUCUUGGAAUUAGCAGACAUUGUAGCCAGAACUUUAGACUCUCGGAGGCCAUACAGAUGGCUGGGACCCAAUCUCUGUAUCUCCAAGGAUAUCUGGGUUAUAUAUGGAAAGAGAGAAGCAAGCUUGGCUAAGAAUAAUGGGGAAAGCUGUGCCACUCAUAUUUCUAUUUCCACCCUCUCCCAGCAUCAAGCCAGCAAAUAAUAAGCUCAAUAAGGCAAUGAUCCUGAUGGAGCCCGUCAGCCACCUCUGGGAGUGUGAGGAAACUGAGAUCCAGACAGGGCAGUGAUGUGCCACAUUCCGCACCAUUUCUGGAAUGGUGUGCCAUUCUGUGCCAAUGCUGAACUCUGGAGGAGGAGAGAGACAACAGAGGACACCUGACAGCGUAUGGGAAUAAGAGUGGAGACCUUACUCCGGACUCUGGUCUGGCUUGGAAGCAUUCGAGAGGGGCUAGAAGUCCCUAAUUUUGUAGGUGGGAGAGGAACAGAGAAAUACUGUUUUGUUACUAUUGUCAUUUCUGUUUUGUAGACUCAGUUGAAUACCACUAGGACGGGUCACACGAUUUUGAAUGUGUUAACACCUCGGCCAUGGAGCAGCCAUCUGGUAGGAAAGCAUUUACCCAGGCAAAGUGCUCUGGUGAUUUAGAUGAGUCAGUGACUGGGUGACAACGGCCAGAAGUCAGAAAAUGGGGAGAAGAGGCACCAUGUGGCAGAGAUUAUGCUAGAUCAGCAUUCAAACACCUGAGUGCAAGUUCCUGCCCUAUUGGUGGGCAGAUUACUUAUUACUUAUUGUCUGUGAUACUCGAGAGACAUCAGUGAAACAGGAUAAUGUCCCCAAUGCCACAGCAACAGACCCCCUCAUCAAGGCACAACCCCAUAGUUUGUAAGCUGCUGCUGCAAUCCUUUCUGCCCCUGACUUUAUAAAUGAUCCCCUCUAAAGAAAAAAUGUAAAUUCAUGGUGAGUUUUGUAAGCCUCAAUUGUUUCACCUGUGAAAUAGAAUCAGUAACCCCUACCUCCUACGUCUACUACAUGUUUAUGAGAUAAUGGCUGUAAAUGUAUUUCACAAACUGUAAAGUGUUGCACGUGUAUAAAUGACCACCAUUAGGUUAAACCACCUGAUAUUCAGUCAUUUUAGAACUACUACAAAACAGAAAUUUCACAUGGUUCGACCUAAAACUAUCAUUUUUUUGUGAUUAUCAACAUUAGGCUGACAAAUCGCAUUUGUGGAGAUUUCAGAAAAAGGUAGGUUUAAAAAUGGACUUUUGGGGAUCCCUGGGUGGCUCAGUGGUUUAGCGCCUGCCUUUGGCCCAGGGCGUGAUCCUGGAGCCCCGGGAUCGAGUCCCAUGUCGGGCUCCCUGCAUGGAGCCUGCUUCUCCCUCUGCCUGUGUCUCUGCCUCUCUCUCUCUCUCUCUCUCUCUCUCUCUCUCUGUGUGUGUGAUCCUCAUGAAUAGAUAAAUAAAAUCUUUAAGAGAAAUAAAUAAAAAUGGACU